AGGGUUUGAUCAUGGCUCAGAUUGAACGCUGGCGGAAUGCUUUACACAUGCAAGUCGAACGGCAGCACGGACUUCGGUCUGGUGGCGAGUGGCGAACGGGUGAGUAAUAUAUCGGAACGUAUCCAAUAAUGGGGGAUAACUAAUCGAAAGGUUGGCUAAUACCGCAUACGCCCUACGGGGGAAAGCUAGGGACCUUCGGGCCUGGCGUUAAUGGAGCGGCCGAUAUCUGAUUAGCUAGUUGGUGAGGUAAAGGCUCACCAAGGCGACGAUCAGUAGCUGGUCUGAGAGGACGACCAGCCGCACUGGAACUGAGACACGGUCCAGACUCCUACGGGAGGCAGCAGUGGGGAAUUUUGGACAAUGGGCGAAAGCCUGAUCCAGCCAUUCCGCGUGAGUGAAGAAGGCCUUCGGGUUGUAAAGCUCUUUCGCAAGGGAAGAAAGAUUAUCCUCUAACAUAGGAUGAUUAUGACGGUACCUUGAUAAGAAGCACCGGCUAACUACGUGCCAGCAGCCGCGGUA
rnacentral:rRNA from 1 species